GAUGAACGCUGGCGGCGUGCCUAAUACAUGCAAGUCGAGCGAACGGACGAGAAGCUUGCUUCUCUGAUGUUAGCGGCGGACGGGUGAGUAACACGUGGAUCACCUACCUAUAAGACUGGGAUAACUUCGGGAAACCGGAGCUAAUACCGGAUAAUAUUUUGAACCGCAUGGUUCAAAAGUGAAAGACGGUCUUGCUGUCACUUAUAGAUGGAUCCGCGCUGCAUUAGCUAGUUGGUAAGGUAACGGCUUACCAAGGCAACGAUGCAUAGCCGACCUGAGAGGGUGAUCGGCCACACUGGAGCUGGAACACGGUCCAGACUCCUACGGGAGGCAGCAGUAGGGAAUCUUCCGCAAUGGGCGAAAGCCUGACGGAGCAACGCCGCGUGAGUGAUGAAGGUCUUCGGAUCGUAAAACUCUGUUAUUAGGGAAGAACAUAUGUGUAAGUAACUGUGCACAUCUUGACGGUACCUAAUCAGAAAGCCACGGCUAACUACGUG
rnacentral:rRNA from 1 species